AAUAUCACACGGAAGAUGAAAGAACACCUGAGCUGGUUGACGUUUGAAAACACCAUCCGGAUUUAUAACUCAUUCAUGAAAAAAUGAGGUUUUUGUUUUCUUUUUUCCUUUUACCAUUCUUGUUCCAUUGUUGUUAUUUGCUUUAAUCCUGUAUUUUACCGCCGGCAAUUCCAUUGUUAUUAUUACUGUUACUGUUAUUAUUGUUACUAUUGUUUUUACUUUUACUUACUACUGUUAUUAUACUUUAAUUCGUUAACUUACGUUAUUGUUACCACUACUUACUUUGCUCUCUCGCAAACGUUCGUUGUUGUUUCUUUUGGACCAGGUUUAGAGAAAUCGCACGCACAGCGGAACUGGACCGCUUAAGCCAGAAAUAGUAAAGUAACAAUAGCCAAAUGCCUCGUCAUCUAAUUAGUGACGCGUAUGAAUGGAUCAACAAGAUUCCUUCUGUCCCUAUCUACUAUCUAGCGAAACCACAGCCAAGGGAACGGGCUUGGCAAAAUCAGCGGGGAAAGAAGACCCUGUUGAGCUUGACUCUAGUCUGACUCUGUGAAGAGACAUGAAAGGUGUAGCAUAGGUGGGAGAUUGUCAAUUUGCCAUCGUUCACGCGAUGGUCCGGUGAUCGCCAAUGAAAUACCACUACUUUGAUCGUUUCUUUACUUAUUCGGUAAAGCGAAAAAAUUGUGGCCAAUUUGGCGGCGUUUAUGUCGCUGUUGGUCAUUGUUUUCAUGUUGGAUUGAAGCUUUGUUUACAGCCGUCGCUUUGUGUCUUCAUUUGGCGCAUUGUUGUACUGGGUUAUCCCAGUGUGUGAUGUGGUCACAAUGGAUGAUCGGCGAUAGGCUUGAAGUGAUUCGCUCCGGAAACAGUGUCAGACGGGGAGUUUGACUGGGGCGGUACAUCUGUUAAACGAUAACGCCAGGUGUCCUAAAGUAAGCUCAGCGAGGGACAGAAANNNNNNNNNNCCCUCUAGAGGACGGUGGGAUGGGAUUACCUCCCUCCGGGGAGGUUUUUUUUUCAGGCAGGCAGAAAGGCACUCGGCCAAGAUGGCUGGAUCGUCGGACCCCCUCUCGAAACGGGUGCUGGAAUCUUUCAUCGAAAAGGUGGGAACAUCCGCCCGUGGACCCGAAAAGUCAUUGAAAGCUGCUCGGCGCGUCUUCCCCGAAAAAAACGGUACCAACGCUUUUUUCAGACGUACCAGAGCGGUGGGUGGAAAGAAAUUUUCGGGAAACACUAUUGGGAACGCCUGGUUGACAAACGGCCGUGCCCGCGGAAGAAAUUUCAUAAUGGCUGUGAAAUUCCGUUCCAACACCGCAGCCACCCGGGCCGAAAACCUACGAGGCCGCCCCGGCACGAAAGAAUGCCGGUUUUGCAAGAGUGCCACCGAAACUUUGGCACACAUUUGCCAGAGGUGUCCGGCAAAUCACGGCUUGGUUAUCCAGCGCCAUGACGCAGUCGUAACAUUCCUGGGGGAAGUGGCGCGGAAGGAAGGUUACCAGGUCAUGAUAGAGCCUAAGGUGUCAACCCCGGUCGGCGCGCUCAAGCCCGACCUCCUACUCAUCAAAGCCGACACUGCAUUCAUUGUGGAUGUAGGCAUUGCAUGGGAAGGUGGACGCCCACUAAAGCUGGUCAACAAAAUGAAAUGUGACAAGUACAAAACUGCCAUCCCGGCAAUUUUGGAAACAUUUCACGUUGGCCAUGCUGAGACGUACGGCGUUAUUCUGGGCAGCCGCGGAUGCUGGCUCAAGAGCAACGACAAGGCGUUGGCAUCAAUUGGGCUCAAUAUCACACGGAAGAUGAAAGAACACCUGAGCUGGUUGACGUUUGAAAACACCAUCCGGAUUUAUAACUCAUUCAUGAAAAAAUGAGGUUUUUGUUUUCUUUUUUCCUUUUACCAUUCUUGUUCCAUUGUUGUUAUUUGCUUUAAUCCUGUAUUUUACCGCCGGCAAUUCCAUUGUUAUUAUUACUGUUACUGUUAUUAUUGUUACUAUUGUUUUUACUUUUACUUACUACUGUUAUUAUACUUUAAUUCGUUAACUUACGUUAUUGUUACCGACUACUUACUUGCUCUC
rfam:Trichinella spiralis unplaced genomic scaffold Scfld6444, whole genome shotgun sequence.